GUGCAGCGCCGGGCCCCUCUGGCGAGGAUGACGUAUGUCCUCGUGAUGUCGGAGCUGCUCC
rfam:Devosia psychrophila strain Cr7-05 contig152, whole genome shotgun sequence.